rnacentral:rRNA from 1 species
CUCAGAUUGAACGCUAGCGGGAUGCCUUACACAUGCAAGUCGAACGGCAGCACGGACUUCGGUCUGGUGGCGAGUGGCGAACGGGUGAGUAAUGUAUCGGAACGUGCCUAGUAGCGGGGGAUAACUACGCGAAAGCGUAGCUAAUACCGCAUACGCCCUACGGGGGAAAGCAGGGGAUCGCAAGACCUUGCACUAUUAGAGCGGCCGAUAUCGGAUUAGCUAGUUGGUGGGGUAACGGCUCACCAAGGCGACGAUCCGUAGCUGGUUUGAGAGGACGACCAGCCACACUGGGACUGAGACACGGCCCAGACUCCUACGGGAGGCAGCAGUGGGGAAUUUUGGACAAUGGGGGAAACCCUGAUCCAGCCAUCCCGCGUGUGCGAUGAAGGCCUUCGGGUUGUAAAGCACUUUUGGCAGGAAAGAAACGUUCCGGGUUAAUACCCCGGGAAACUGACGGUACCUGCAGAAUAAGCACCGGCUAACUACGUGCCAGCAGCCGCGGUAAUACGUAGGGUGCAAGCGUUAAUCGGAAUUACUGGGCGUAAAGCGUGCGCAGGCGGUUCGGAAAGAAAGAUGUGAAAUCCCAGAGCUUAACUUUGGAACUGCAUUUUUAACUACCGAGCUAGAGUGUGUCAGAGGGAGGUGGAAUUCCGCGUGUAGCAGUGAAAUGCGUAGAUAUGCGGAGGAACACCGAUGGCGAAGGCAGCCUCCUGGGAUAACACUGACG